rnacentral:tRNA from 1 species
UUGGAAUAUUUAGUACAGGUGAUUUGUAAUCAUCAGGUGGCGGGUUCGAGUCCUGCAGCCGGCACCA